rnacentral:ncRNA from 2 species
GUUAAAUUUUAUAUGUUCGGUUCUAGUAGAAAUCAACUAUUAGAAGCAACAGGGAAAGUCCGGUGUAAGUCCAGCACUGUCCCGCAGCUGUAAACCAAUUUUAAUUUUUAAUUUGAGAUUGAAAUUUAAAAUUGUGUAAGUCAGAAUCCCCACCCAUAGAAAAGUAAAUUU